CCGGUGCUCUUUAAUUAUCGGCACUUUGUUUUUAUUUUGAGCUCAGCUGGCUCAGCCGCUUAGCGAUCAGCCUCUCUGCUGUGACGAAGUUUAUCGCAGCUGUCCGCGAUCAUUCAAACCUUCGCCCGCUUGCUGUAGCUUGACGGCUGGACAGGCAGCGAAAGCAUGGCUUACUGCGCGUGGAACGGAUCGGAGAAGUACAGAGACACGUUCGUUUCAGGGACUUACGUGUGCUCGCAGUGCGGGUACGAGCUGUUCUCGAGCCGCUCCAAGUUCUCCCACAACUCCCCGUGGCCGGCCUUCACGGAGACUGUGCAUGCAGACAGUGUCACCAAGCGCCCCGAGAUGGGACGGCCCGGCGCACUCAAGGUGUUCUGCGGCAAGUGCAAUCAGGGUCUGGGGCACGAGUUCCUAAAGGACGGCCCCGACAAGAAGUCCCGCUUCUGAAUAUUCUCCGAGUCCCUGCGCCUGGUCCCCAACUCGGAAGCAGACGGGACUUCGUCCGAAGCGGGGAACGGUCCAACUCUCGACCAGACGCCCAAGCCGGUGGGACUCCUCUACCGGUGCAGCCUCAUGUAGCGGCCACCAGCACCAUCUGCAACCGUUGCCGGGACGACAGCUACAGAUGCUUUCUAGCUUCCACCCGCUUCGCUUGGCGUGCUGUGCUUGCCGUAUAAUGGGGUCUUCAAAAUGGUGCCUUGGAACGAUGAUGCCUUCGAUAUGUAAAUUUGGUCGCAAUUUCGGUGCCAUAGACCAGUGACGGAUGUACCGCCGCGGACAAAGUGGAGUGAGCCGACGCGCUUAUCCCACCCGAUCGUGUUAGGAGAAACCUUUCUUUGUCUGAAUGAUACAUUUUACACACCACUACCCAGUUUCGUGUAUUCCACUUUCUCUUGUGUGCGACACUUGGCUUGAGGUUUGCCAAAGACUGCGAGCGUGAACUUGUUUCAUAGACUGUUUUGUUGCAGGGGAAUGCAACUAAGUCAUGUUGGGGCACAAAUUCAUGUAUGGUCCCAGUAUCCAUUGGGCAUUCUCUGAAUGUCGUCAGAACCACGUAUUCGCUUUGGGUGCAUAUAGGAUUUUUUUUUCAAGAGCGGCCGUCUCAACACGGGCUUAAGCUGAGCUAGUUGGUUUAUUGCUCUCGAUGGGCCAGCUGAACAAAGAUUACAUCACACACAAAAAACACCAUUCACACUGCUGGCAAGAAGGUUAAGAGUUACGAGGCUAGUUCUCUGAGCACGCCUUGUAUCUCUUUUAACCUUCUUGCCAGCAGUGUGAAUGCCACUUUUGUGUGUAGUAUAAUCUUUGUUCAGACAGUCAUCUUAAGCUUAAACUGGCGCAUGAAAUACAGAUGGCUUUGACAACUGUGGAGGGGAGGGAUCCAUUGGAUACUGAACAAGACUCCCAUCGGAACGCGUGUCUAGUCUGCCCCACGUUGGCCUUCUUCCAGCGACGCCCAAUAUUCAGCACUAUGACUGUGUUAUCUAGCAGCUGUUUCGUUAUUCCCUCUCCUCUGAACCAGUAAACUACUUUCGAGUCGCUAUUUUCUGACUUUCAGACGUCGAGAAGCAAAGUGCAACGGCAAGAAGUCUACCCCAUUUACUGGGUAGACCUUUGAUGUUUUGACGCUGUUAUCUGCAAUGUACAGGUUAACCUUCGAAUGCACGUGGGUGGUCGGCGCGUUGGCUCAUUUCCCGCCUUUUCGCUGGGAGUGGGGCAGACGACGAGCGGCUUGGCGGUGCCUUCUGCAGUAAUGACGCAGCACUGACAAAGCCUGUCGAGUUGACGGGCGCAGUGUUGCUGAAGAAGCUUCCCGCAGGACACUGGCCAGGCUGUCUUUGAGGUUCUGCCCCGCUACCAGCUCUCUCCCUACCUCUAAAUGUGUGCGACGUAUCUAUGUAUAAAUCAACUUUUGUACCUUGUGAGCAUGCACUGCUGGAGGAAGGUGCGACCGGAACAACAUUUUAGCGAGUUUGUUUCAUGUUUUCAAGCGUUUUAGAAGGAUGCAUAAUCAUAAACUUGAAGCAACUUCGAUCUUUAAAAAAAUCGGGUGUGAAAAAUGCACUCGACAUCAUGCUGAACAAACCCAGCGAAGAGGGAAUAAACAAUAUUAAAUGCCAAAGGGCACCUGUGGUUUUCUUUUUUGUUCCGUGAUCUAUAGCAUUGAAGUAUUAUUGAAAUGUUCCAAGUAGCCCUGGAACAAACACGACACUGUACUUCAAAGAAGGGACAAGCACUUGCGUCUGUUACCUCGCCUCUGGCCUUUGCCGAUACGAUUGCUUGCCAAAUCAUAUUUCGAUACUCAACAUACCAAAUUUCUGAUGGCAUAAUGUGAUUGGCUCAGCUUGCAAGCCAGUGAAAUAUUUUGUAGUCUUUUCCUUGUGACCUGCAUGUUAAACUAUAGUCGCCAGCGAUUUCCCUACCCACCCCCUGGGGGAGGAAGGGGGGUAGACCCCCCUAGCUUGUCUGAGGGCACUCCCUGAAAUAAUCUUCUGCUAAGAAAAAUAAUUAAUAUUUAUUUUGUGCAAAACCGUUGUUUUCUUGAGCACGCUGGCUCAAAAGUGGUUCCUACAUGGAGUUAACGUCCCAAUAGCAUCAAGGCACGAGCUGUUUUGUCGCGCCUUUCCGCUGCUUAGCUCCUUGGGUGAAGGAGAACAGAGGAAAGGUUUGUUCAUUGAAGAGGUGUGUUCGUUGUUUACAUUCAUUGCGGCAUCGCAGUAUGGAUGCCGCGACUGAUAUUUUGAUGUUGCUUUUUGCAUUACUUUGUGCUUUCUUAAGAAAAUUGUGCAUUCUUCUUUAAAUGCUUAAACAUUAACGUUGAAUGUAGAGUUCCGGAACCUCUGUCGGGCACACACAAAAAGGAACAGCAAAAAAAUAGUGAAGUAAAUAGAGAAAAGAAAUUGCCUCCUUGAGCCUAACUCCCAGACCCCUGGAAAUUCGACACCACCCCCCAAUUUCUAUUUCUAGGGAAAUCCCCAAUGGUCACUCCUCUUGUGCUAGUUCAUUUGUUGUAUUUUUCACCUCGAUGAGAUUGCAAUAAGGAUUGCAUGUAAUGAUUGUCUUCUACCGUGCCUUAUGAACUCUAUUAAAAGUUUGGCUUAUACAACUGUU